rnacentral:rRNA from 1 species
GAUGAACGCUAGCGGCAGGCCUAAUACAUGCAAGUCGAACGGUGUCUUCGGACAUAGUGGCGCACGGGUGCGUAACACGUAUGCAACCUACCUUACAUUGGGGGAUAGCCUUUCGAAAGGGAGAUUAAUACCGCAUAAGACAGUAGCUGGGCAUCCAGCAGCUGUUAAAGAUUGAUCGAUGUAAGCUGGGCAUGCGUCCAAUUAGCUAGUUGGUGAGGUAGCGGCUAACCAAGGCAAUGAUUGGUAGGGGAACUGAGAGGUCAAUCCCCCACACUGGAACCGAGAUACGGGCCAGACCCCUACGGGAGGCAGCAGUAGGGAAUAUUGGACAAUGGGCGCAAGCCUGAUCCAGCCAUGCCGCGUGUGUGAAGAAGGCCUUAUGGUUGUAAAGCACUUUAAGCGGGGAGGAGGCUACUUUAGUUAAUACCUAGAGAUAGUGGACGUUACUCGCAGAAUAAGCACCGGCUAACUCUGUGCCAGCCGCCGCCGUAAAAC